rnacentral:lncRNA from 1 species
AGUACCCAAGCACAUGUUUACAGUCAAACCUCGAUACAACGAACCUCAAUUUAACGAAAUCCGCAAUGUAACGAACUAUCUUAAUUUCCCAAUGUCAGUUCCAUUGAAAACCAUUUAUAUGUUUUUCUCAAUUAACAAAGUAAUUUCAUGACACGGUUUCCAUUUAACAAAGUAGUUUUCGACCAUUUCAAGCACAUACAGUAGAACCUCGUUGAUACAAUUUCGUUUCAUAUGAUUUCCCGGCACCAACGUUUGUGAUUGAGAACACA